UGUGUGUGCGUGUGUGUGAGUGUGUUUUCAAGUGGUGCCGAAACCCGGGAACGUGUGUGUGUGUUUACAGCCUCUAAAGAAGGGAAUUAAUGAGAGAAAAAUGCAUGGAUGAACAUUCUCCAUGACAAAAAUGCCCACUUAAAAUAUCCACUUGCAUAGAGUUUGCUGCUUUGUGUGUGCUUUCCGUGGAAAGGGGAGCUGGGCACAUGGGUCACAGCCAGCCAGAUCGUCCCCGACUGGAAAGCACAACAGGGAAUGAGCCAGCCCCUCAUCAGCCAAAUGCCCACAUCACAGUCUGGCCACUAACACUCCAUUUCUGCAUCAUGCUCACCAUGAAGCACUGCCUUGAUGUAGCUGAGCUACAGCUGCAGAAAUGUGCUACGCAAAUUAAAUGAGAAAUUGCUUUAAUAU